rnacentral:rRNA from 1 species
GACGAACGCUGGCGGCGUGCUUAACACAUGCAAGUCGAACGGAAAGGCCCUGCUUGUGUGGGGUGCUCGAGUGGCGAACGGGUGAGUAACACGUGAGUAACCUGCCCUUGACUUUGGGAUAACUUCAGGAAACUGGGGCUAAUACCGGAUAGGAUCUCCUGCUGCAUGGUGGGGGUUGGAAAGUUUCGGCGGUUGGGGAUGGACUCGCGGCUUAUCAGCUUGUUGGUGGGGUAGUGGCUUACCAAGGCUUUGACGGGUAGGCGGCCUGAGAGGGUGACCGGCGACAUUGGGACUGAGAUACGGCCCAGACUCCUACGGGAGGCAGCAGUGGGGAAUAUUGCACAAUGGGCGGAAGCCUGAUGCAGAAACGCCGCGUGCGGGAUGACGGCCUUCGGGUUGUAAACCGCUUUCGCCUGUGACGAAGCGUGAGUGACGGUAAUGGGUAAAGAAGCACCGGCUAACUACGUG